rnacentral:rRNA from 1 species
UACGGAGGGUGCAAGCGUUAUCCGGAUUUAUUGGGUUUAAAGGGUCCGUAGGCGGAUCCGUAAGUCAGUGGUGAAAUCUCACAGCUUAACUGUGAAACUGCCAUUGAUACUGCGGGUCUUGAGUAAGGUAGAAGUGGCUGGAAUAAGUAGUGUAGCGGUGAAAUGCAUAGAUAUUACUUAGAACACCAAUUGCGAAGGCAGGUCACUAUGUCUUAACUGACGCUGAUGGACGAAAGCGUGGGGAGCGAACAGG